GACGAACGCUGGCGGCGUGCCUAAUACAUGCAAGUAGAACGCUGAAGGAGGAGCUUGCUUCUCUGGAUGAGUUGCGAACGGGUGAGUAACGCGUAGGUAACCUGCCUGGUAGCGGGGGAUAACUAUUGGAAACGAUAGCUAAUACCGCAUAAUAGUAGAUGUUGCAUGACAUUUACUUAAAAGGUGCAAUUGCAUCACUACCAGAUGGACCUGCGUUGUAUUAGCUAGUUGGUGGGGUAACGGCUCACCAAGGCGACGAUACAUAGCCGACCUGAGAGGGUGAUCGGCCACACUGGGACUGAGACACGGCCCAGACUCCUACGGGAGGCAGCAGUAGGGAAUCUUCGGCAAUGGACGAAAGUCUGACCGAGCAACGCCGCGUGAGUGAAGAAGGUUUUCGGAUCGUAAAGCUCUGUUGUAAGAGAAGAACGAGUGUGAGAGUGGAAAGUUCACACUGUGACGGUAGCUUACCAGAAAGGGACGGCUAACUACGUG
rnacentral:rRNA from 1 species